rnacentral:rRNA from 1 species
AACGAACGCUGGCGGCAGGCCUAACACAUGCAAGUCGAGCGGACCUUUCGGGGUCAGCGGCGCACGGGUGAGUAACGCGUGGGAAUAUGCCCUUCUCUACGGAAUAGUCCUGGGAAACUGGGGGUAAUACCGUAUACGCCCUUUGGGGGAAAGAUUUAUCGGGGAAGGAUUAGCCCGCGUUGGAUUAGGUAGUUGGUGGGGUAAUGGCCUACCAAGCCGACGAUCCAUAGCUGGUUUGAGAGGAUGAUCAGCCACACUGGGACUGAGACACGGCCCAGACUCCUACGGGAGGCAGCAGUGGGGAAUCUUAGACAAUGGGGGCAACCCUGAUCUAGCCAUGCCGCGUGAGUGAUGAAGGCCUUAGGGUUGUAAAGCUCUUUCAGCUGGGAAGAUAAUGACGGUACCAGCAGAAGAAGCCCCGGCUAACUCCGUG